GGACUUUUGGACCUGUGCCAAACUGAUCAACUGCAUCCUAAUGGAACGUUCAAGAUGUGAUUCAGUAACUGAUACGGUUGUUGCAAUAAUUAUUUUUGACCAAAUGAUUACGAACAAGCGCAGCUAUCUUUGGAGGGGUAAUGCACCUACUGAUAUCCCGUAAUAAGAACUUGGGAGAGAUUUAGUGAAAACCUGGAGAACGGCCACUUAGCUCACAAAUCUGAGCUGUUCACAUCAAGCUGAUAUUUGUGACAGCCAUUAUAGCUUUAAUCAUUUUCUCGAUUGAUCAAAGCACCACAGACUGCAUCGUUCGUCACCUCUGCCUUUAAGCGCGUUAUCACCUACUCCAAUAAGCCACCCCAAUAUCCUUAAUAAGCAAUAGAAGUUCUUAUCGACUGUGUAUGACUCAUUAAUAUCCAUGUUCUGUAUAAAUUCAUGUGAUAGGCCUACUGGUAUUAAUGUUGAUGUACCGUAAUGUUUUUUGCUCAUGUAUAAUUGAUAAUAAUACAUUAAAAAUAAAUAUAAUGUUAAAUUAUUA
rnacentral:lncRNA from 1 species